CACUCUCUGGCCAAGGCUGGAGUGCAGUGUCAUAAUCUCAGCUCACUGCAACUUCUGCCUUCCAGGUUCCAGUGAGUUUCCUGCCCCAGUCUCCCAAGUAGCUGUAAUUACAAGAGUGCACAACCAUUCCUGGCUAAUUUUUGUAUUUUUGGUAGAGAUGGGAUUUCACCAUUUUUGCCAGGCAGGUCUUAAACUGUGAACUCAGGUGAUCCAACUGCCUCAGCCUCCAAAAGUGCUGGGAUUACAGGUGUGAGCCACCAUGCCUGGCUGCAUUUAACAGUCUCUACCCCACUUAGUCAUGAAUAGAGAAUUGUCAAUAUAAAUUGGGGGAAGUUUUCUUUUUUUUGACAGAAUCUGGCUCUGUCACCCAGACUGGAGUAUAAUGGUGUGAUCUUGGCUCACUGCAAUCUCUACCUCCUGGCUUAAAGUGAUUCUCCUGCCUCAGCCCCCUGCCUCUGAGCAGCUGGAACUACAGGCAGUUGCCACCACACCCAGCUAAUUUUUGUAUUUUUAGUAGAGAUGGGGUUUCACCGUGUUUGCCAGGCUGGUCUCAAACUCCCAAUCUCAAGUGAUCUACCCACCUCAACCUCUCAAAUUGCUGGGAUUACAAGCAUGAGCCACCAUGCCUGGGGAGGGGAUGUCUUUUAAUGUGUCAGUUCUGAUUUUAACUCCCAGGUAAUAUGAAUUUCUGGGAGUUAAAAUCAGAAAAAAACAAAUUCUAGAAAGAACUUGAAAGAUGUUCGUUCAGGCUGGGCAUGGUGGCUUUCUUCAGAUCGUCCCUCUGCAAGAAAGGCUCUGUGCUCAAGCCUUGGAGAGGGAGAUGGCUGAGAGGAAGCCUGCCUACAAGCAGCACAGGAAGAGAAAGCAGAGAGUGCCAGAGAGAUACAUGAGUGAGGAGCCAGCCCAGAAACAUCUGUGCCUAGAGAACGCUUUCUGGAGAGGUAGGAGCUCCCAUAAAGGCAGCUGCUUAAUUUCUGCUGCACAAUCCACACACCCUGCUUCUCCUUUUCGGGAUUCUGCACAGACCUCAUUCAGUUCCCAUGAGGAACAGCAGCUGUGUCCUAACUGAAAUCACAGAGAAGCCAAAGGUUAAAAUGGCUUCAGCACAGCAUCAUCAUUGCUCAGGACUGCCCUGCUUGCCCUACCUCAUGGCUGAUCCAUCAUG
rnacentral:lncRNA from 13 species